rnacentral:rRNA from 1 species
AAGUCGUAACAAGGUUUCCGUAGGUGAACCUGCGGAAGGAUCAUUACAAGUGAGGCUACCGAACGUUGGAAACAGCGGUUAGGAGCUUACACCCACCCGUGUUUACAUACUAUUGUUGCUUUGGCGGGCCGUGGCCUCCACUGCGGGCUCUGCUCGUGUGUGCCCGCCAGAGAACCAAACUCUGAAUGUUAGUGAUGUCUGAGUACUAUCUAAUAGUUAAAACUUUCAACAACGGAUCUCUUGGUUCUGGCAUCGAUGAAGAACGCAGCGAAAUGCGAUAAGUAAUGUGAAUUGCAGAAUUCAGUGAACCAUCGAAUCUUUGAACGCACAUUGCGCCCUGUGGUAUUCCGCAGGGCAUGCCUGUUCGAGCGUCAUUUAACCACUCACGCCUAGCGUGGUAUUGGGGCACGCGGUCUCCGCGGCCCUCAAAAUGAGUGGCGGCGCCGGUGGGCUCUAAGCGUAGUACAUACUCCCGCUAUAGAGUUCCCCCGGUGGCUCGCCAGAACCCCCAAUUUUUACAGGUUGACCUCGGAUCAGGUAGGGAUACCCGCUGAACUUAA